CCUACGGGAGGCAGCAGUGGGGAAUAUUGGACAAUGGGCGAAAGCCUGAUCCAGCCAUGCCGCGUGUGUGAAGAAGGCCUUCGGGUUGUAAAGCACUUUCAGUGGGGAAGAAAGCCUUGGGGCUAAUACCCUCGAGGAAGGACAUCACCCACAGAAGAAGCACCGGCUAACUCCGUGCCAGCAGCCGCGGUAAUACGGAGGGUGCGAGCGUUAAUCGGAAUUACUGGGCGUAAAGCGCGCGUAGGCGGUCUGAUAAGCCGGUUGUGAAAGCCCCGGGCUCAACCUGGGAACGGCAUCCGGAACUGUCAGGCUAGAGUGCAGGAGAGGAAGGUAGAAUUCCCGGUGUAGCGGUGAAAUGCGUAGAGAUCGGGAGGAAUACCAGUGGCGAAGGCGGCCUUCUGGACUGACACUGACGCUGAGGUGCGAAGCGUGGGUAGCAAACAGGAUUAGAUACCCCAGUAGUC
rnacentral:rRNA from 1 species